CAGUCGCCGCGGGAAUACCGAGGAUGCAAGCGUUAUCCGGAAUGAUUGGGCGUAAAGCGUCUGUAGGUGGCUUUUCAAGUCCGCCGUCAAAUCCCAGGGCUCAACCCUGGACAGGCGGUGGAAACUACCAAGCUGGAGUACGGUAGGGGCAGAGGGAAUUUCCGGUGGAGCGGUGAAAUGCGUAGAUAUUGGGAGGAACACCAGUGGCGAAGGCGGCUUUCUGGACUGUAACUGACGCUGAGGCUCGAAAGCCAGGGGAGCGAACGGGAUUAGAUACCCCAGUAGUCCCUGUCUCUUAUAC
rnacentral:rRNA from 1 species